GGUCGUUGUAUGUGCCGCUAGCAUCCGAGCACAGAUCCGGCGUCUUCGCCGCGGUCGAGCCGAUCAGUCGGGGCGGUGUUUAUUGCCGCAACCAGAGCAUUGUGCUGAAGGCCGACGGUGGUGGUGGUUCUCCUGGGUGGUGGCGGUCCUGUGUGCUGUGUGAUCCCUUUUAAGAUUUUCUUUGUUUACACGUCACCUUUUGCUGUGUGUGUGUGUGUGGGGUGUCCUCCUUUUCCUUUUGGAUGUCACUUACCCUACCAAACCCCUCCUC